rnacentral:sRNA from 1 species
GAGUCUAGAAAAUCUGGAGGUGUCGA